GCAGCUGAGUCCUCAACACAUCCAGAGCUGGUACAGCCUUCAGAGUUGUCCCUAGUUGAGGGAAGAAGAACCAGCUAUUUACGUCCCUCCAUCCGCAGUCUUAGUGGGGGACCAUCUUAUGAAGGGGUAAUCUUAGACAUGACAUCUUCUAUGGCUUAGAGCAGGGGUCUUGUUGGCCUCACUGUCUCUGUCACAACUACUUCAAUCUGCUGAUGUAGAGCAAAAGCAGCCAUAGACAAUAUGUAAACAAAGGGCAUAGCUGCGUUCCAACGAAACUUUAUGCGCUAAAACAGGUAGCCAACUCAUGGGCCAUAGUCUGCUAACCCAAGGCCUAGAGUUAUUCUCACUGAGAGGCACAGCUCUGAGACAUCAGCAGUUGAUAUUCCCGGAAGCUGGGGGAUGAGUUCUUAACCCUCAAUUGCAGGUUUGGGCAGAGCACCAUAGGUGCGCUGCAGUUCCCGCCUCGCACAUUUCGGAUCUACAUGCUUCUUAUGAAAGAGGAAACUUGGCCACAUGUAGAGGGAAGAUGAUGUGAAGACGCGGGGAGAAGAUGGCCAAGUACAAGCUAAGGAGAGAGACCUGCAACAUCCUUCCCUCACAGCUCUCGGAAGCAAACAACCCCGUUGACAACCUGAUCUCAGAUUUCUAGCCUCCAGAGUGGCGGCGGGACAAUAAGGUUUUGUUGUUUAAGCCAUCCAGUCCGUGGUCCUUUGUUUCAGCAGCCCUAGGAAAUGAAUAUAGAUUUAUACAGUAUGAACCCAUUACUGUCUGACUUCUUGCAUUCCGUUUUGUGAGAUUCAUCCAUAUUAUUGCAAGGAGCAGUAGUUUAUUUUCAUGGCUAUCUUUUGUUGUAUGAAUAUUAUAAAAAUUAUCAAUUUUGUCCACUUCGGUAUUGAUGGAUAUUUCUUUUCCAUGCCCCAAAGCAGCCAAUAAACCAUUCUCAGCUGACCAUAAGUCCAUACAUGUUGUAACAGUUGGCCACUUCUUUUUCCACAAAAAUAGAUGACUAGAUCCACUGUUCAGCGAUCUGCCCAUUAGGAGAAUUUUCUCUCACCACUGUCUUUUUAUUUUAUUUUUUAGAGAUUUUAUUUUUUCCUUUUUCUCCCCAAAGGCCCCCAGUACAUAGUUGUAUAUUCUUCGUUGUGGGUCCUUCUAGUUGUGGCAUGUGGGACGCUGCCUCAGCGUGGCUUGAUGAGCAGUGCCAUGUCCACACCCAGGAUUCGAACCAACGAAACACUGGGCCGCUUGCAGCGUAGCGCGCGAAAUUAACCACUCGGCCAUAGGGCCAGCCCCUUUUUAUUUUAUUUUUUAAAGUGAGGAAUCAAGGUCCUUUUUUUUUUUUUCUUAAGAUUGGCACCUGAACUAACAUCUGUUGCCAAGCUUCUUUUUUUUUUUU
rnacentral:lncRNA from 1 species